GUGUCAGCAGCCGCGGUAAUACAGAGGGUGCAAGCGUUGUUCGGAAUUAUUGGGCGUAAAGCGCGUGUAGGCGGCAAGGCAUGUCGGGUGUGAAAGCCCUCGGCUCAACCGAGGAAGUGCGCCCGAAACUACCUUGCUUGAGUACCGGAGAGGAUGGCGGAAUUCCCGGUGUAGAGGUGAAAUUCGUAGAUAUCGGGAGGAACACCAGUGGCGAAGGCGGCCGUCUGGACGGAUACUGACGCUGAGACGCGAAAGCGUGGGUAGCAAACAGGAUUAGAUACCCUGGUAGUCC
rnacentral:rRNA from 1 species